GUGCCGUGGGGUCUGGCCCUCAGCAAUUUAAACAGAGCAGCUUUCCAAACUCAGCAGAGCACACAUCAGAGUGUGUUUAGUUCAUCUGGGCUGGUGAGUUCCAGUGAUGAAAGCCUGGUGCUAAUGGAGGCGAGGUCACCGGUUCAAUCCUCAUAGGACCCAGUUCACUUACAAGAGAAAAAACACUACUCAAGAACCAGAGACACCUCCUGACCCCAGUCACUGACCACAAGAAGGAUGGGGUGAAAACGAUGGCUGACCCAGGGCAAAACCAUCUGAUAAACAACUCAGACAGCACACCCCCAACCCCCAGCAGGAGAAGCCAGCACCUUCUAGUUUAAGGAUUUUAUAAAACCGCUUUUAUAAAAAUCCCUGCGGACAAGUUCACAGUAGCUGACUCCCCAAGAUGAGACGUGCUGCUUUAGAAGGGGGCUGAAGAGCUAUGCCCAGACUGGAGCACGAGUCUGCUUGCUGGUGUGUUUCUCAGUCCAGUUUGAUUUUUUAAAGGUACCCUCCAUGGGACAGAACUCUGCUUACAAACUUUAAAACUGGAUGAUGCAAAAAUUACCUGCACAGCAGAGGAGGACAACGAACCAUAGAAUUGAGAACAGAAAGGAUCAUUAAACAUCACCUACUCCAAAUGCAUUCGUUUCCAGAACUCCACA
rnacentral:lncRNA from 10 species